ensembl:lncRNA
AAAAAUCCAUUCCCUCUGUUUUAUCAACUGUUCGCACAGUUUUGCAAUCUGUGCGCACUAAUUUAUAAACAUGCCCAUGUAAACGCGCAAAAAAGUGUGUAACAUUCCGGAGAAGAAGACGGCACAGGUAGCCUACUUUCAGCAGCGUCUGCAUCCAACAAGUGGAUGUACAAAGAAAUGCAAAGAAAGAGGAUUAAGUGUACGAAAAGAAGAUCCUAUCCACCCUUGACCCAGAGGGAACCGAAAUGCGAAGAAGUAGGAGGUUACAUCAUCAAGAGGCCAAAUUUUGUAUGGCAUGUCGAUCCUUACAACAAAUUAAAACUGUACGGUAUAUGCAUCAAUGGAGCCAUUGAUGGGUUCUCAAGAAGGGUUCUCAAGAAGGAUAUGGCUGAAUGCUUACUGUACCAGCAGCGACCCCAAAGUUAUAGGAGGUUAUUUUCUCAAGACAGUAGGGGAACAAGGUGGAUGUGCCCGUUUCCUGAGGUCAGAUAUGGGGACAGAAAACGGCUCGAUAUGAGAUAUGGCACUGUACCUUCGUCACAAUGAUGAUAAUGCCCAUGGGGGUGAUAAAAGCUUCAUUUAUGGAAGAAGCACCAGCAAUCAGAGAAUAGAAAGCUGGUGGGGCUUUCUCUGUAAAGAGUGUGUGGAUUUUUGGCUCGACCACUUUCACCGACUUAAAGAUUAAGGGGAUUUUGCUGGGGUCUUCUUGAACCUCAUUUUAUUCUGCUUCUUUGGUUUUAUACAGGCAAGUGGCAUCAAUAGACAGCCUACACUAUAGGUCUUGUUUUUUGCUGAAAUCAGCAGUCCAUCCCAAUAUCAGAAACAUUUUCUGUGACAUGUUAGAUAGAUAAACACUGCAUUUUGUAGAAUUGUAAAUAUUGGUUUGCAAAUGCAGGCCAAAACUAUUACCCUGAUUGGCCAGGUGGUGGUGCUACAAUUAAAGGCCAAAAAUUAAACAUUUGCAAAAGUAUCACUCCCACAAUAUAAUUGUAUCUGAUAAAACCUGGUAUUAUAUACCAAGCUGUUUGUUUUCCAUAGGGCUUUGUCAUGCUGGUUCUCUUGGCUCAUUAUCUAUUUUCAUCCAUGGUUCAAAAUAUGGUAAAAAUGUAAAUUAGCCAGAAGGAAAGACUUCACAACGCCAUUGUUCUCCAAGAUCAGUUGCUUACAUUUUUUGUUUACUUAAAUGGACAUAAAACCAGGAAAUUACAAUAAAAAAAAAGAAGAUUAUUGAUAAUGACCCAAAUCCUUUAUCAAACCUUUUAACCAUGCCCCUUAAUCAAGAAAAAAAAAAGAAGAUGAUUCCCUAGAUGUCCCACGGAUCAGGGCAUAUGCUCGUGUGAAAAUGUAAAUGUUGAUCUGAUGGUAACACUACAUUAAAGGCCA